rnacentral:rRNA from 1 species
UGGGGAAUUUUGGACAAUGGGCGAAAGCCUGAUCCAGCAAUGCCGCGUGUGUGAAGAAGGCCUUCGGGUUGUAAAGCACUUUUGUCCGGAAAGAAAUCCUUGGCUCUAAUACAGUCGGGGGAUGACGGUACCGGAAGAAUAAGCACCGGCUAACUACGUGCCAGCAGCCGCGGUAAUACGUAGGGUGCAAGCGUUAAUCGGAAUUACUGGGCGUAAAGCGUGCGCAGGCGGUUUGCUAAGACCGAUGUGAAAUCCCCGGGCUCAACCUGGGAACUGCAUUGGUGACUGGCAGGCUAGAGUAUGGCAGAGGGGGGUAGAAUUCCACGUGUAGCAGUGAAAUGCGUAGAGAUGUGGAGGAAUACCGAUGGCGAAGGCAGCCCCCUGGGCCAAAUACUGACGCUCAUGCACGAAAAGCGUGGGGGAGCAAAACAGGAUUAGAUACCCUGGUAGUCCACGCCCUAAAACGAUGUCAACUAGUUGUUGGGGAUUCAUUUCCUUAGUAACGUAGCUAACGCGUGAAGUUGACCGCCUGGGGAGUACGGUCGCAAGAUUAAAACUUAAAUGAAUUGACGGGGUCAUAGCUGUUUCCU